UACAGAGGUCCCAAGCGUUGUUCGGAUUCACUGGGCGUAAAGGGUGCGUAGGUGGUGAGGUAAGUCGGAUGUGAAAGCUCGGAGCUCAACUCCGAAAUGGCAUUGGAAACUACCUUGCUCGAGGGUUGGAGGGGAGACUGGAAUUCUUGGUGUAGCAGUGAAAUGCGUAGAUAUCAAGAGGAACACCAGUGGCGAAGGCGAGUCUCUGGACAACUCCUGACACUGAGGCACGAAAGCUAGGGGAGCAAACAGG
rnacentral:rRNA from 1 species